UUUUCCUAUUCAAACUUUAUUUUUUCAUUCAGAACACAAGAGGAAGUAAGAGUUCCCUUGCAAAACGUGAUGAGUUAAAUAAUAGUUUUUCUCGAUUAUUCUGUUUUUGUGUCAUUGGGAGCCGAAAUCGUAAUCACGAUUACAUUUCGAUCAAUUGCACAGCCCUACUCCAUCUAGCUGUCUG